GGAAUAUUGCACAAUGGGGGAAACCCUGAUGCAGCGACGCCGCGUGAGUGAAGAAGUAUUUCGGUAUGUAAAGCUCUAUCAGCAGGGAAGAAAACGACGGUACCUGACUAAGAAGCCCCGGCUAAAUACGUGCCAGCAGCCGCGGUAAUACGUAUGGGGCAAGCGUUAUCCGGAUUUACUGGGUGUAAAGGGAGCGCAGGCGGCAAGGCAAGUCAGAAGUGAAAACCCGGGGCUCAACCCCGUGAUUGCUUUUGAGACUGUUUAGCUGGAGUGCAGGAGGGGCAAGCGGAAUUCCUAGUGUAGCGGUGAAAUGCGUAGAUAUUAGGAAGAACACCGGUGGCGAAGGCGGCUUGCUGGGCUGUAACUGACGCUGAGGCUCGAAGGCGUGGGGAGCAAACA
rnacentral:rRNA from 1 species